rnacentral:rRNA from 1 species
AGAGUUUGAUCCUGGCUCAGGAUGAACGCUGGCGGCAUGCCUAAUACAUGCAAGUCGAACGAGAGGAAGGAAAGCUUGCUUUUCUGAAUCUAGUGGCGAACGGGUGAGUAACACGUAGGUAACCUGCCCAUGUGCCCGGGAUAACUUCUGGAAACGGAUGCUAAAACCGGAUAGGUAGCAGACAAGCAUUUGACUGCUAUUAAAGUGGCUAAGGCCAUGAACAUGGAUGGACCUGCGGUGCAUUAGCUAGUUGGUGAGGUAACGGCCCACCAAGGCGACGAUGCAUAGCCGGCCUGAGAGGGCGGACGGCCACAUUGGGACUGAGACACGGCCCAAACUCCUACGGGAGGCAGCAGUAGGGAAUUUUCGUCAAUGGGGGGAACCCUGAACGAGCAAUGCCGCGUGAGUGAGGAAGGUCUUCGGAUCGUAAAGCUCUGUUGUAAGAGAAAAACGACAUUCAUAGGGAAUGAUGAGUGAGUGAUGGUAUCUUACCAGAAAGUCACGGCUAACUACGUGCCAGCAGCCGCGGUAAUACGUAGGUGGCGAGCGUUAUCCGGAAUUAUUGGGCGUAAAGAGGGAGCAGGCGGCACUAAGGGUCUGUGGUGAAAGAUCGAAGCUUAACUUCGGUAAGCCAUGGAAACCGUAGAGCUAGAGUGUGUGAGAGGAUCGUGGAAUUCCAUGUGUAGCGGUGAAAUGCGUAGAUAUAUGGAGGAACACCAGUGGCGAAGGCGACGAUCUAGCGCAUAACUGACGCUCAGUCCCGAAAGCGUGGGGAGCAAAUAGGAUUAGAUACCCUAGUAGUCCACGCCGUAAACGAUGAGUACUAAGUGUUGGGAGUCAAAUCUCAGUGCUGCAGUUAACGCAAUAAGUACUCCGCCUGAGUAGUACGUUCGCAAGAAUGAAACUCAAAGGAAUUGACGGGGGCCCGCACAAGCGGUGGAGCAUGUGGUUUAAUUCGAAGCAACGCGAAGAACCUUACCAGGUCUUGACAUCCUUCUGACCGCACCUUAAUCGGUGCUUUCCUUCGGGACAGAAGAGACAGGUGGUGCAUGGUUGUCGUCAGCUCGU